rnacentral:pre_miRNA from 1 species
AUCACCUGGUAAUCUUGUUAAAAGGCAGAUUCUGAUUCAGUAAGCCUGGGCUGGGCCCUGGGAUGCUGAAUUUCUAACAAGCUCCCAGGUGAUACUGA